rnacentral:rRNA from 1 species
UAGGGAAUCUUCCACAAUGGACGAAAGUCUGAUGGAGCAACGCCGCGUGAGUGAAGAAGGGUUUCGGCUCGUAAAACUCUGUUGUUAAAGAAGAACAUAUCUGAGAGUAACUGUUCAGGUAUUGACGGUGUUUAACCAGAAAGCCACGGCUAACUACGUGCUAG